GAGAACACAAGGGUGAACUGACUAUACAAACUAACUCACGUUCCUGGAUGCUUAAUGACUUCCAGCUGCUCAGUGAUUAGAGCGACUUGUUACCUCUUAACCCUUUAGUACCAACACCUAUGAGAACCAAAACGUUGUCACCUUGAAAUUCUAUCUCAAAAAAAUUGCAGUGCAGUUUUCCAGUCACACAAAAUACACAAAAAUGCAUAUACUCCAUUUAAGCUGCUCAUGCAAAUGCACAUUGUGAAAAUGGCUAACAACGAUGGAUUAUUUUAGGAUACAUAGCUUUGCAAAAAAAUCCUCUCCUCCCCACUCUGUUUGGGAUUCCAGGUUUACAAGGGUUAUUAUGCAGCUGUAACCCUGCAACAAGAUAAAACAGAUAGUGUGUUGAGCAGGGAAAGAGUUAAAAUAUUUCCUCCAGUGAAGCCUAUAGCCAGCUAAGACUACAGGUCAAGUAAAAAAAUUGACUGACCUUGUUAAACACUUCCCAUAAGUCAUGCAGAGUGGAUAUACAAAUGACAAUAAAUCAAUUUCAAGUAACAAAACACAUGUAGUACAAGAGUAAUUUGCAACAUAGUUCAGAAGGUGAAUUGUUGGUUUCUUGGUAUCAAAUUACCUUGGUAAAUUUAUUAUUGACUAGCAUAGUAUUUUUAUAGUAUUUUUAUAUCACAUCAGUACUUUUUCUCAGCCAUAUUUAAGGUGUUUAGAAAGCUUGCACCAUGGUAAAUUUGUUACUCUUUAGGAUACCACAAACUUAUUUUAUGGUGUCCUAUUUCUCAAGUUCCUUUUUUAGGGGAAUGAGGGGACCCUAUUCUGGGAACUGUACCAUGGUCCCAUGUACUACAUCAGGAAGAUUUUGGGCAUCACAUGGCAAGUCAGUCUCAAAGAUGUGCUCUGCCAAGCCCACAUUCCCAGCAUGUUCACACACUGCUCUCAGUAACAUCUACACUGGCUUGGUCAUGUUCACAGAAUGGAAGAUGACAGGCUCCCCAAGGAGGUGCUUUAUAGGGAGCAGGCACCCAACUCAUUGGCAGACCAACUCUGCAUUACAAAUAUGUCUGCAAACGUGACAUGAAGACUACAAGCAUCAAUCCCACCAUAUGGUCAUCCCUUGCAUAUGACCGCAGUGCCCGGAAUACAAUCGGGUCAUGCAUUCAUAGCAGUGACAAGAUGAGGAAUGAUCACAAGGAGGACCACAGUGAGAAGAAAUGCCAUGGUGUAUCUGCAACAGCACAACCAGAUGCUUUCAUUGCCCCAGCUGCAACAAAACAUAACCCUCCAAUAUUGGUCUCUACUGCCACAGCAGGCUCCAACAGUUUGACCACCCCCAAUACACUCCUCCAUCGACUCUAGAGACAGACAGAUGCCAAUUGCCAUGGUGCUUCAACCAUCUUGAUUGCAGUUAAAUCUGCUAUCCUGUAAACCAAGGGUGUAGAACCUCAGGGUCAAGGCUUGAACUGGCCUUCCAAACCUCUUUAUGGCCCUUGGAACACUCUCAAGACCGCAUCCCUUCUCGAAUGAUGAUUUUGACUUCGUCUAACUGUCAGUACGCCUUUCAACCGAUGUCAGCGACUGGGCUCAGUAACUGGUUCUGCCCCGACUGGGCUAGGCAACUGGAGCACUUGCAGAGACCUUCCAAACCUGGAAAGCAGCUCUCAUCUCAGUGCACUGGACUUGCAACUGCGCAUUGUGAGCACCAUACUCAGCAGAGUAUAAAUAACGCGGAAGCUAGCUGUGAAGCAUAACUCCUUUUAUUUCUAAUAGCUACUACAAACUAAAGAACUACUGGCUUGCAUGAGUGUUACAGCUCCCACUCUGCCAUCUAGUCACUACAUAGAUAAGACUUUCUCCACACAUAGAGUGAGUCAGUCAGGAGCGGAAGAGUAGAAGAGCAGUUUCCGCCCCCUCCUUUCUCAAAACAUCAGAUCAGGAGAUGCAAUGGGAGGGGGUGAAAAGAUCAACAAUCUCCCCCUUUUCAUACCAACCAUUGCAGAAUCUAACAGAUUUGCAAUUUAUGUACAUAUACAGCGAGUUGUUCUCUGUUAACUUUGGUUAGUGCAUCGGCAGGUAUUUCUUUCCCUGGCAUAUAGGACACUUUCACAAUUCCUUUCCGGAUGCAUUCUCUAGCUCGGUGAAGCUUAAUCUGUAGCUAUUUUGUUGUCUGUUUGCAUCCUUGAGAGUGGAGCAAAGCUAUACCUGUACAAGCUUUAUUGUCCUGAUAGACUUGAAUAGGACAAGUAACUUUCACUUUUACAUCCUCAUACAGUUGUAAUAACCACUGUCCAUGAGGAAAAGAGUUAAAGUGUUAAGUUCUGCUUCGCAAGAACUCAUGCUUACUGUUGCCUGCGUCCUACAAGACCAAUCAAAUAGGCAUUGAUUAUACAAGUAGCACACAUCUGAAGUGCUUUUACCAUCAAUUGCAUCACUGCCAAAACUGGCAUCGGCAUAAAUUUCAAGACCUCCAGAUUUUUGGCUGGUGAACCUCAACCUGUAAUGCAGAGUGCUUUUUAAGAACCUUGCUAUGCGUUUCAGCGCCUUCCAGUCUUAAACUGUGGGUUGGUUUGCAUGUCUCCUGAGCAGAUUACACUUACAGCAAUAUCUGGUCUUGUACACUUUGCGAUAAAACUGAGUUUGCCUAAUACACUCCUGAAAAGCGUAUCAGGAAAAACAUCAGCAUCAUGUUGGUAACCUGAGACCAUGGGGGUGUCUACAGCAUUAGCAUCACUCAGGUUCAACCUUUCAAUAACAUCACUGAUUUUACGUGUCUGAUGCAGCAAAACAUCACCUUGUGUAUUUUUCUCUACCUCUAGUGAGAGAUAAUUGCUGACUUCUCCGAGAUCUUUCAUAUCAAAAUGUUUCUGCAGCUUUGCUAGAGUGCUUUUGUAAAUAUUAUCAUCUUUCCACAAAAAUAAGAUAUCCUCUACAAAGCAAAUGCAGUAGAGCUUGUGCUGAUUAGAUUCUUUCACAAAAACACAAGAAUCAGCCUUCCCUUGCUGAAAACCUAGGGAAAACAGCACUUCUGUCAGCUUGGUGUGCCAGCAUCCUGUGCUUUGUUUUAAGCCAUACAGGUUUUUUUUUUCCCAGUUUACAAACCAUUCCAUUUUAUUUGCACUCCAUCUGGCAGUAACAUGUAAAUAUUCUCAGUGAGAAUUCCAUAUAAAAACACAGUAUUUACAUCGUGAUUAGUAAUAGUCAUACCUUCCUCAGCAGCAAUUUUCAUCAACAGCCUAAUACUCUCAAACUUUACUGUCAGUGAGUAUGUCUCAUGAUAGUCCUGAUCAGGUAUUUUGAGAGAAACCACGUGCCACUAGUCUGGCUUUGUACCUGACUAUUUUACCAUUCUGAUCAGUUUUUGUCCUGUAAAUCCACCUGCUAUCAACACAUUUUUUGCCUGGUUCUGCUGGAACCAAUUCCCAUGUGUCACUCUGCUUUAGGGAAACUAACUCGGCUUCCAUGGCGUUUAGCCAAGGUUCGGCAUCCUUUGCGGAUAAAUUUUGAACCUCUUUGUAGUUGGCUGGUUCAAAAGCUGAAUCUGAGUUGCUAGUAACAGCAGCUUUAGCAAACUCUUUGGAGCACCGCUUAGGUGGUUUGGCCUUAGUAGCUCAUUCAGAUCUAUGAAAGAUUCUCUGGUCCUCUGGGACUGGUGUCUCCUCCUUGGGAGAAUGACGAUCUAAUGUAAACAAAGGUACUGUGUCUAAAUCAGUGUCAGACUCAUCUGAUUGUUUAAGAGAGGCUUUUGCACUUUGAUAAUCUGUGUCAUCAGAAUCUGCAUCAGCAUUAAUCGUUAGCAACAACAGGAUCUGCCUCUAUCUUAAUUGCUUUCGCAUCAUCAUCUGAAAUGGGAUGACAUUGAAAAAUGCCAACUGUGUCCCAUUUUGGGUCACAAUCCAUGCUUCUGGUCAACCUUAUCACCUUUGUGUCAGUCAUUAACACACGAUAGGAACCUUUUUCAUAACCCAGAAAAAUGCCAGGUUUGCUCAAUUUGUUGUUCUGCAAAGUGUGGACCCAUACUUCUGAACCGAAAAUUCUUAAAUGUUUCGCAUGUCUUUUUGUAAAGCAUUUCAUAUGGGGUGCAAUCAAUAGCCAAUUGGUAUCUGUGAUUGUAUACGUAAGAAAAACAGGAUAGAGCUUCUGCCCAAAAGGGAUUGGAUAGGCCUGAAUCGUGCAACAGAGUUCUUACACCUUGUUGCAAGGUUUGGUUCACUCGCUUGCACAAACCAUUUUGCCAUGGAGAUCUGGGCGUUGCAGUCAUGUGCUCUGUGUUCUGUUCAGUAAGGAAAUUCAUACUAUUCAGAACAAAAUUAUCUACCCCUAUCAGUAAAUAAACAACGUACAUGCUCAUCGUGUACAUUUCUAAGCCAUGCACAAAAUUGUUGAAACCUGGAAAAAGCUUCAGAUUUCUUUUGCAGUACAUAUAUUCCUAUUCCAUAUAUGUUUGGGUCAAUCAGUACCAUGAAGAAACGUGAGUUGCCUUUAGAGUGCUAGAGGUCCAACCUAGUCAGCAUGUAUAACUUCAUAAGGUUUCUUAGCUUCUCUCCCAGAUUUUACACCUUUGAGAGCUUGCUUUGCUUUGUUUUCUGCACAAGAAAAACACUUCAUAUGUUAAGGACAAUUUUUCAAUUUCGUGUCCUCAACCAUGCUUGGCAUUUCGGCUACUGCCUGGAAAUGCAAAUGGCCAAAUAGACGGUGGUACACAUGUAUACACUGGUCAUGCAGUUUCUCAUUCUGUUGUAAAGGGUUACCUAAAUACCUGAUACCUGUUCAAGGUGUGCUCAAAAAUCACAGACACAGUAAUGGAGAAAAAGAAAGUAAAAUUUUAUUGCUGACAGCGGAAUGGUGUCCAAAGACUGGGUGCUAGAGCUCUGGUGCUUUGGGUUUAUAUACCUUUUUGCAAACAGCUUUAGGCAUUACAUAUUCAUAAAUUGCAGCAAAAUCAAACCAAUAAGCGUGGACACAACCCUUCCUAAAUACUCCUAUGUCCAUUUAACAUUUCUCCAACCUACAUGUUAAGGCGAAAAGGGCUUAGCGAUUUUGUUCAGAAAUGACUCCUGGAUAUAUAUUUAGCGUUAGUACACUAACAAAGCCUCCUCCAACAGCACCUAUGGAACGGGUCGGGUAGAUUUCAUCACUACACUGUUCCCCUUGGACUUCCCUCUGUUUCCUGUUUCUAGAGGCACGAGGAAGGAAAGUCUCUACAGUCACAGGGAAAGUGAAGGCUCCGAUUUCCACACACUGGUAAUUACAAGGGUGGUAGUUUGUAGCAAGCCAGGAACCAUAGAUUCGGAUCCUUAAUCAUCCAUCCAGAAUAGAUGGAUCCCUGUCUGGUGAAAUUGACUGUAUAUUGGGGGAAGUAUGGAUACAAAUCUGAAGGUGUGGUGUUUCCUUGGUAGGAGGUAUUGAAGGAACCCCACAACCAAAAUUUAUCGGUGCAGUGUGUAUAAUUUCCUAGCCAACUUUUACGUUGGUGGCAUUGUACCUGGUGCCAAUCUUUCCAUUUGGAGUCCCAUGCCCCAGAGGCAUAGCAACAAAAACACAAGCCUUGGGUGGUUCUGGAAAACUGGAAAUACCGGUAGGAGGUGCCAUUCAAUUCAGAAGGAGGUGUAGUAAAAAGGCCACUUUGGUUAUAUAGUAGGCCUGCCAACACAAUAUCAGGAUCCUUGAUCAGUCCUGGAAUGAGGGACAUGUCAGCUACCUUUCUAGGAUGUUCAUAGUAAAGGGUGACAUUUUCUCAUGCUUUACAAAGACAUUUCCUUGUGUCACACUGGGGUUCCCCAGAAUCAAGAUGCACAUCAGGAUUAAUAUGGACUUCAUUCUCAAAUUCUAAUUCAGGAUCCAGGGAUCCCAAAGAUAUCAGGCAUCAUUUAAGGGUUACAAAAGAGAAACUAAUUUGUCAGACAAAUUUACCCUCUUACCUGUCAGUUAAGGCUGGAGAGGAGGACAGAAACUAUCACCUUCUGUAUACCAACAAUUACUCAAUUGUAGGAGGUCCGAGGUACACAAACUAAACUGGAGGCUUUUCCCUGCAGUGCCCCUGGUGGCACAACUGCACAUUUCUCCUGUUUGAGAACUGCAUUGAGAAAGUACAGUUUUUUUGUUUCUUUCCCCCCAGAAGAUACAGACCAAACUUUAUGAAACAUUCAAUAGUACUUAACAUAGAAAAACCACAGUAAUUUUUUUCUUUUUUCCCCUUUUUUUAUUGAGCAAGAGAAAUCUUAAAAUACAUACAAUACCAACAAACAUUCACUUAAUUGUAGAUUAUAAAGAAUAUAGAUAG